GACGAACCGUGCAAACGUUGUUCGGAAUCACUGGGCUUAAAGGGCGCGUAGGCGGCUCGCCAAGUCGGGGGUGAAAUCUUUCGGCUCAACCGGAAAAGUGCCUUCGAUACUGGCGGGCUGGAGGGAGGUAGGGGCAUGUGGAACUUCCGGUGGAGCGGUGAAAUGCGUUGAUAUCGGAAGGAACGCCGGUGGCGAAAGCGACGUGCUGGACCUCUUCUGACGCUGAGGCGCGAAAGCUAGGGGAGCGAACGGG
rnacentral:rRNA from 2 species